GAUGAACGCUGGCGGCGUGCUUAACACAUGCAAGUCGAGCGAUGAAGUUUCCUUCGGGAAACGGAUUAGCGGCGGACGGGUGAGUAACACGUGGGUAACCUGCCUCAUAGAGUGGAAUAGCCUUCCGAAAGGAAGAUUAAUACCGCAUAAUGUUGAAAGAUGGCAUCAUCAUUCAACCAAAGGAGCAAUCCGCUAUGAGAUGGACCCGCGGCGCAUUAGCUAGUUGGUGGGGUAACGGCCUACCAAGGCGACGAUGCGUAGCCGACCUGAGAGGGUGAUCGGCCACAUUGGGACUGAGACACGGCCCAGACUCCUACGGGAGGCAGCAGUGGGGAAUAUUGCACAAUGGGGGAAACCCUGAUGCAGCAACGCCGCGUGAGUGAUGAAGGUUUUCGGAUCGUAAAGCUCUGUCUUUGGGGAAGAUAAUGACAGUACCCAAGGAGGAAGCCACGGCUAACUACGUGCCAGCAGCCGCCGUAA
rnacentral:rRNA from 1 species